CUCAGUUGGGAAUACAGCUCCGAUUUCUGGCUAACAAAAUUUACAAAAAUAUAUAUAAAUAAAUUUUUCGUUGUAAAAUAAUUUUAUUUUUCGAUCUAAUAUAUAUUUUAAUUUUGGUUAAAAAAACAAGCAUUUUAACAUGUUUCAUAUAUUCAUAUUAAUUCAGCGUUAAUAUUUUUACACGGCCCAGACACGCACUCAGCCCAGUUAAUUGUUAAAGUUAAGCAAAUCAACAACAAUGACAACAAAUUAAUAAAAACACUAAACAAAAGUUGAAUAAUAUAAAUCUUUUAACUAUGAGAGCAACACUAAAGACAAAAUGGAAAUACGCUCAAUGUGGAUAUCAAGAUAGGUGAAGGUGAUUAUGGUUCUACACUUGGUUGUUAACCUGUCCAGAGGGCGGUACCACGCCCCCAUAGGCGGCGACGCAGCUUAGCGCCUGAAUUUAACAGUUAUUAUCAAUAGAUACACAUAUACAAAUGCAGCUGACUCGCUAAUCAAAUGCAAAUAAUUUAAUAUAAUUUAAUAAUUACACACACACACACACACACACACAAUGUGUUUUUUAAACGGUACCGGGACCUGCAAGUUCAAGUGCUUGGCGUUCGCUAUUAUUUUAUAGCCUGUUAAUUGAUUGGAAAAUAAAAUAAUUAUAAGAUUUAAAA